GACGAACGCUGGAGGCGUGCUUAACACAUGCAAGUCGAACGAUGAAAUGGAGCUUGCUCCAUGGAUUAGUGGCGAACGGGUGAGUAACACGUGAAUAACCUGCCCUUAAUUUUGGAAUAACCCAGGGAAACCUGGGCUAAUACCGGAUAAGUAAACCUGUGGCAUCACAUGGUUUUGGAAAGUUUUUCGAUUAAGGAUGGAUUCGCGGCCUAUCAGCUUGUUGGUGAGGUAAUGGCUCACCAAGGCGACGACGGGUAGCCGGCCGUGAGAGGGUGAACGGCCACACUGGGACUGAGACACGGCCCAGACUCCUACGGGAGGCAGCAGUGGGGAAUAUUGCGCAAUGGACGAAAGUCUGACGCAGCGACGCCUCGUGAGGGACGAAGGUCUUCGGAUUGUAAACCUCUUUCAGCAGGGACGAAGCGAAAGUGACGGUACCUGCAGAAGAAGCACCGGCUAACUAUGUGCCAGCAGCCGCAGUAA
rnacentral:rRNA from 1 species